GACCUGUGAGUUGUGAAUAGCAGUUGAACUGCUGUCUCAUUAUAGACCAUCUCUUUCUUCUUCCCCGCCCUAUUCCCUCUCUCUUUUCUUUCUCGUUGCCUCGUUCUUUACUCUUUCUAGGAACACUUUUGAUUGGACUCCUAUUAAUUUAAAAUGCAACCAGAAAUGGGCUCAGAAGGAUCAUCUAGGGUUUCCCUAGGAGUUUAAGAUUAUUGGGAGAGCUUGAAAGAGGAGAAAAGGGAAUUGGGGAUGGAACUGUCAGCUAUGGGAUGGAUGACGCAGAUGAUGUAUACAUGCAAUCUUGGACAGGAACUAUAAUUGGUCCUCCUAAUACUGUACAUGAAGGGCGCAUCUACCAGUUAAAACUUUUCUGCGGAAAGGAGUAUCCAGAUCACCCACCUAGUGUAAAGUUCCAAACAAGGAUAAACAUGAGUUGUAUAAACCAAGAAACUGGUGUGAUUGGAAGUGCGAAUACACAAUGGAAGAUAUAUUAAUGCAGUUGAAAAAGGAAAUGAUAUCUCUUCAAAAUCGAAAACUAGUUCAGCCUGCUGAAGGCAAUGAAGAGAAUCGGGUGGAUCAAAAAGGUUUGGUUCUGAAAUGUUGUAUUUUGUAACUGGAGAUUGGAGAAAGAACAUUGUAGAUGAAAAUGUAUAUAGCCUUAUUGCUCAGAUAGUAGCAACUGUUGUCUUAAUAUCUGUAUAUGUAAAUGUGUACGAUUUUAUCCGAGAAAGAUGCCUGCUUAUUCCUUUCUCAA